UACUAUGUUACGACUUAUCUCAAUUAAUAAAUGAGAGCGACGGGCGAUGUGUACAUAUUAUAGAGCUAUAAUCAUAUUUAUAAUCUAUAAAAAAUUACAAUUAAAUCCAAUUUCAUAUUCUUAAAAUUUUCAAAAAAUAAUUCAAAAACCAAAAUAAAUGUAAUCCAUCUCCACCAAAAUAUAAACUGCACCUUGACCUGAAAUAAAUUUUAAAAAUAAAUCUAGAAAAUUAUUUAAACUCUAAGAAGAUCCUCAUUAUAACGGCGGUAUACAUGUAUUUAAAAUCUGGUAAGGUACAACGUGGAUUAUCGAUUAUGGGACAGAUUCCUCUAAAUAGACUAAAAUACCGCCCAAAUUCUUUAAGUUUCAAGCCCUUACCUAAUACUACCUAGGUUCUAAUAAUUUAUGUCUAAAAUAAUAGGGUAUCUAAUCCUAGUUU
rnacentral:rRNA from 1 species